CGACUCGGGGAGGUAGUGACAAGAAAUAACGGUACGGGGUCUUUAUAGGUCUCGCAAUUGGAAUGAGUACAAUUUAAAUCCUUUAACGAGGAUCAAUUGGAGGGCAAGUCUGGUGCCAGCAGCCGCGGUAAUUCCAGCUCCAAUAGCGUAUAUUAAAGUUGUUGCAGUUAAAAAGCUCGUAGUUGGAUUUCGGGACGGGUCAGUUGGUCCACCGAAAGGUGUGUUACUGACUGGUUUGUUCUUCUUCGCGAAGACUACGCGUGCCCUUUAUUGUGUGUGCGUAGGAUUUACGACGUUUACUUUGAAAAAAUUAGAGUGUUCAAAGCAGGCUAUCGCUUGAAUACAUGAGCAUGGAAUAAUGGAAUAGGACUUUGGUCCUAUUUUGUUGGUUUCUAGGACCGAAGUAAUGAUUAAGAGGGACAAUUGGGGGCAUCCGUAUUUCGUUGUCAGAGGUGAAAUUCUUGGAUUUACGAAAGACGAACAACUGCGAAAGCACUUGCCAAGAGUGUUUUCAUUAAUCAAGAACGAAAGUUAGAGGAUCGAAGACGAUCAGAUACCGUCCUAGUUCUAACCAUAAACGAUGUCGACUAGGGAUCAGCGGGUUUCAUUUUACGACUCCGUUGGCACCUUACGGGAAACCAAAGUUUUUGGAUUCCGGGGGAAGUAUGGUUGCAAAGCUGAAACUUAAAGGAAUUGACGGAAGGGCACCACCAGGAGUGGAGCCUG
rnacentral:rRNA from 1 species